rnacentral:rRNA from 1 species
CUCGUAGGCGGUCCAUCACGUCGGGAGUGAAAAGCUGGGGCUUAACCCCAGUCCUGCUUCCGAUACGGGUGGACUAGAGGUAUGCAGGGGAGAACGGAAUUCCUGGUGUAGCGGUGAAAUGCGCAGAUAUCAGGAGGAACACCGGUGGCGAAGGCGGUUCUCUGGGCAUUACCUGACGCUGAGGAGCGAAAGCAUGGGGGACAAAC